rnacentral:rRNA from 1 species
UACGUAGGGGGCAAGCGUUGUCCGGAUUUAUUGGGCGUAAAGAGCGUGUAGGCGGCCAGACAGGUCCGUUGUGAAAACUCGAGGCUCAACCUCGAGACGCCGAUGGAAACCGUCUGGCUAGAGUCCGGAAGAGGAGAGUGGAAUUCCUGGUGUAGCGGUGAAAUGCGUAGAUAUCAGGAGGAACACCCGUGGCGAAAGCGGCUCUCUGGGACGGUACUGACGCUGAGGUGCGAAAGCGUGGGGAGCAAACAGG